GCAGUGGUGGUUCAAUGGUAGAAUUCUCACCUCCCAUGCGAGAGACCUGGGUUUGAUUCCCUUUCAACGCA
rnacentral:tRNA from 1 species